GACGAACGCUGGCGGCGUGCUUAACACAUGCAAGUCGAACGGAAAGGCCCUGCUUUUGUGGGGUUCUCGAGUGGCGAACGGGUGAGUAACACGUGAGUAACCUGCCCUUGACUUUGGGAUAACUUCAGGAAACUGGGGCUCAUACCGGAUAGGAGCUCCUGCUGCAUGGUGGGGGUUGGAAAGUUUCGGCGGUUGGGGAUGGACUCGCGGCUUAUCAGCUUGUUGGUGGGGUAGUGGCUUACCAAGGCUUUGACGGGUAGCCGGCCUGAGAGGGUGACCGGCCACAUUGGGACUGAGAGACGGCGCAGACUGCUACGGGAGGCAGCAGUGGGGAAUAUUGCACAAUGGGCGGAAGCCUGAUGCAGCAACGCCGCGUGCGGGAUGACGGCCUUCGGGUUGUAAACCGCUUUCGCCUGUGACGAAGCGUGAGUGACGGUAAUGGGUAAAGAAGCACCGGCUAACUACGUG
rnacentral:rRNA from 1 species